GACGAACGCUGGCGGCGUGCCUAAUACAUGCAAGUCGAACGGUCUUUUCUAUGGAAGCUUGCUUCCACUGAGAAGAUAGUGGCGAACGGGUGAGUAACACGUGGGUAACCUGCCCAUAAGAGGGGGAUAACAUCCGGAAACGGGUGCUAAUACUGCAUAGUUUUCUUUGAUUGCAUGAUCGGGAAAGGAAAGACGGCCUUUGUGCUGUCGCUUAUGGAUGGACCCGCGGCGUAUUAGUUAGUUGGUGAGGUAACGGCUCACCAAGACGAUGAUACGUAGCCGACCUGAGAGGGUGAUCGGCCACAUUGGGACUGAGACACGGCCCAAACUACCUACGGGAGGCAGCAGUAGGGAAUCUUCCGCAAUGGACGAAAGUACUGACGGAGCAACGCCGCGUGAGUGAAGAAGGUUUUCGGUAUCGUAAAACUACUGUUGUCAGAGAAGAACAAGUUGGAGAGUAACUGCUCCAGCCUU
rnacentral:rRNA from 1 species